rnacentral:rRNA from 1 species
GGGUCUGACGCCUGCCCGGUGCCUGAAGGUUAAAAGGAGGGGUGCAAGCUCCGAAUUGAAGCCCAGGUAAACGGCGGCCGUAACAAUAACGGUCCUAAGGUAGCGAAAUUCCUUGUCGGGUAAGUUCCGACCUGCACGAAUGGCGUAACGACUUCCCCGCUGUCUCCAACAUCGACUCAGCGAAAUUGAAUUGCCUGUCAAGAUGCAGGCUUCCCGCGGUUAGACGGAAAGAC